GACGAACGCUGGCGGCGUGCUUAACACAUGCAAGUCGAACGGAAAGGCCCUGCUUUUGUGGGGUGCUCGAGUGGCGAACGGGUGAGUAACACGUGAGUAACCUGCCCUUGACUUUGGGAUAACUUCAGGAAACUGGGGCUAAUACCGGAUAGGAGCUCCUGCUGCAUGGUGGGGGUUGGAAAGUUUCGGCGGUUGGGGAUGGACUCGCGGCUUAUCAGCUUGUUGGUGGGGUAGUGGCUUACCAAGGCUUUGACGGGUAGCCGGCCUGAGAGGGUGACCGGCCACAUUGGGACUGAGAUACGACCCAGACUCCUACGGGAGGCAGAAGUGGGGAAUAGUACACUAUGGGCGGAAGCCAGAUGCAGCAACGCCGCGUGGGGUGUGACGGCCUGCGGGUUGUAAACCGCUUUCGCCUGUAACGAAACGAGAGUGACGGUAAUGGGUAAAGAAGCACCGGCUAACUACGUG
rnacentral:rRNA from 1 species